ensembl:lncRNA
GAGAGCAGUGAUUGGUCAGACCAUAGGCAAUUUAGAAGACAGCGCGCUAGCGUAUCUGUUCUAUGUAUAUCUAUGGUCGGUACAUCUGGUAGCAUCUCUGGCUGCUGUUGACCUUGUUUUUGGAGUAAAACACGGUGGAAGCUGAAUUAGUAAGGAUGACUCCUGCUCCUGUCAUCUCUAAGCUCCUCACACAUCUUUACCUGCACAUGAGGAAAAUCACUCCUGUAGAAUGCAGAUGUUCAGAGGGAGAUGAUGCCACAUCUGGUCCAGCUGAUGGAAGGUCUUGAAGUUCUCUGACUGGCCUCGACUGAAGAUGGUCGUCUCACUGGAUUUAAGGUUCAGAUGCUCAGUAACAAACUCCACCAAUGUGCCAACAGGGAAGCUUUAGGUUUAUUAAAUGUUGCUAUGAAGGUUUCGCUGUUUUUCUUUGUGAAUGCAAUGUGCUCCAACUGAAACUUGAAUUAGAACUUAGAAGUAAAUCCUUCCAUCUGAAAGGAUUUAGUUGCAUUAAUAACCUCAUAACAUUCUAAUUUUUAUUACAGUUUUGGCUGAAAAUAGAAUCUCUGUAUUGAUUCAGGUAAAAACUGAACUUCACAGCAUGUUGAAGCAAAACAACCAGAUGAAAACUGUGAUGGUGUUGGAUUGUCAGACCGUAAUGUUGCAGCUCAAAGCAGCUUUUCUAUCUCAGUUCAUUCUGACAUUCAGCUAUGAAUCAACACAGCAGAUGGUGAUCCAUGCUGUGGAAGUCUCACAUCUCCUGAUUUAAUGGAGCUGCUUUGCACUUUUUACACUGUUUAUUCACCAACACUUUAUUUAAUAAAAGUCCCAUUUAGUUUUUAUGAGGAAUGUGAUGUUUUAAUUUCUCUGUGAAUAACUGCAGUCUAAUGCAACAGCUGGAGUUGUAACAUCUGUCCUGAUAUUGAUCAUGAAGUAUUGAUCAGAAUACUGAUGGUCAGCAGUCAUCCCUGAAGUUUUACAUUAAAAUCUUUACUUGUGUUGUGAACUUUGGUAAGAAGCAGAAACGUUAGCGUUGCCAUGGAUACAUGAGUGUUAAAUUCAGUCCAUGUUUCCAUUUUGGGAAAUGCAGUCCAGUUCCAGAAUGUGGAGGAAUUUAGUCUCACAAUCACAGACAACAAAUAUUAUCUGAAAGCCGGGUUAUUGUUGUUUAUCAGCACAAUACAAAAAGAUCAAUGUUAGAAAUAUUCCAGUUAAGACUCUAGAAUACCAUGAUUUAUGUAAAUUUACCUAAAUAAUAUGAAUGUUCAGGUUAAAAUUGUACAGUGAUAUUUAUUAUGUAAGUUUAGCUGAUUAAAGUUUAUGACUCUGCACUAAAAUAUUAUUUAAAUUGACAUCAUUAUUAUAAUAUUUAGGGUCAGACCCUACAGUAUUGAGAUUAAGAAAUCAAAUAUUCUAUAAAAUGUAAAUACACUGAACUCAUUUGGAUAUAUUUAAGUGAGACUCUACAAUAUUAUUUGACACAAAUCUAUCUAAAUCAAAAUUUUAAUAAUUUUCACACCAAACAUUUACUGGACUGAUUUAAACAUUAAAAUCACUCCUUUCUAAUCCUCUGCUGUACGUUCAAACCUGAGGCCUUAAACAGAAACACACAAGUAUCUGUUUGAAGGAACUUCUGCAGAGUCCUGGUUCCAGAACAUGAUGAUAGAAUUAUAGACAAACUUUAACAAAAGCUGCCUAAGAGUUUACAGGUUUUUAUGUUGGAUUUCUUCAGUAAUUUAAUGAGCGUUAUCAGCAAUAAUCAAGUGUUCAUUUGAUGAACUUCAUUUCCUAAAACAUCCAGAAUUGGAGCUCAUAUCUUUGACAGCUGUAAAGUUUCUGCUCCUUCAAAGUUCACAACACAAUGAAUUAAUUCCUAAAACACUCUCAAUGCUGGAGAACGUUUGUGAUGCUGAAGCAGUGAGCAGUUUUUCUGUUUCUUCUCUGGAGAUGCACAAUGAGGGACGUCUGCAGUGACUGAGAAAGAGUCUCACCACAUCCUGACAUGAGGAAAACGACUUUAUUGAAGACUACAAUGAGAAAAACUAUCAGACAGCAGAGGGCUGCAUUCAAGAGAAGAAGACCAUCAAACAUCCACGUCAGCUGAUAGAGGUCCAAGAGUCUCACCAAACAAACAACCUACAGAGUGAAGACCUCAAAUCUGAUUGGACGGCCUCCUAUUCAGCCACGUGUGAACAAAUGCCUCUAAGUUGAUUUGUUUUCUAAAAUAAAUCUAGUUUGAGUUCUAAUCUAUGUCUGUGUGUUUGCUUCUUUACACCGCUGUUAACAGUUUAGGCUGUUAGAUUGUUCCAGAUAAGACAAGAUCCUGCAGAGCCGUUCUACCACGAGCCUGACAGGAAGAACUCCAACAGCUACUGAAUGUUCCUGUGGUUCCCUCAAGGCUACAGGAGGAGUCCUACGAGGACGAGCCGGUCCACCUGAUGGUGGCCAGUUGCUGUGGUUCAAAGCCAACACCGACUACGUGGACUUCUACUGGACCACACGGAGGCCUUCAAACUGGACCACCAAGUUCACUGACUCCCCGACUCGUGGGUCUGAGGACGCCGCCGAGCCUCGGCCCAGCCGGCCUCCUGUCUGUGGGUGUUUGAGUGCUGAGAGGUUUGUGGAUGCAUGUGAACAUGUCUGUGUUGAAACAGCAGCUUUGGACUCAGUAACGCUGGGAAAAACCAAGAGCUCCUUUAUUUGUGACUUCCACUAAAAAACUGAUGAAAAUAAGUUUGCCAGGGUUCUGACUGAUAACAGAUUAUUAAAUAAUGAAAAUAAUCGUUUAAAUAUUUCUUUAAACAAUCCUUUUAGGUCUACAUUUCCUUUACACUGACUUCUUGGUAUAUGUACAACUAUUUUGGAUGGACUAUACCAUUAAGUCCAAUGUUCAAGGGUUCUUCUGGGAAUAUACCAUUAAACCAACCUUUUAGGUAAAUGUUCCAGGAUGUUGGGUAGAAUAUACCAUCAGAUCAACCUUUUAGGUCUACAUUGGAAGAUUUUAGAGUAGAAUAUUACUCCAAACCAUCCUUUAGGUCUACAUUUAAGGUGGAAUACUCCUUUACACCAAGAUUUUUUGGUCUCGAUUGAAGGAUUUUAGGUGGAAUAUUCCUUUGAAUGAACUUUUUAAGUUUAUGUUCAAGGAUGUUGGGUGGAAUAUACCAUCAGACCAACCUCCAAGGUCUACAGUAGUGAAUUUUAGCUGGAAUAUACCAUUAAACUCACCUUUUAAGUCUACAUUGGAGGAUUUUAGGUGGAAUUUUCUUCCAAACCAUCUUUUAGUCUACAUUUAAGGAUGUUUAGGAUGGUAUAUUCUUCCGAACCAACUUCUCAGGUCUUCAUUUCAGGUGGAAUAUUCCUCCAUACUAACUUUUUUGGUCUACAUUGAAAGAUUUUUUCUAAACCACCCUUUCGGGUCUAUAUUUGGGGUUUUAGGUGGAAUAUUCCUUUUAACCAGCCCCUCAGGUCUCUUUGAGGAUUUUGGAUGGAAUACUCAGUUAAAUCAACAUUUUAGGUGCAUGUCCAAGGAUUUUUGGUGGAAUGUUCCUUUAAGGUGGAUGUUUGAGGACCUUGUAGGUGGAAUACUUCCUGAAACUAACCUUUUAGGUCAACAUUCAAAGAUUUAAGGUGGAAUAUUCCUUUAAACCAACCUAAAUUUCAUGUUUUGAUCAUUAUCAAGUGAGAAACCUCAAUCCAGACUCCUCAUAAUGACGUUUGAGAUUUAUGCUGCUGUUAUUUGUUUAGUCCAGACUAAAUGACAGAAAUCCACAACUGUAAUUUUAUUUCAGGACUCGGUUAUUAAAUGUCAAAACAAUCCAUGUGACUCUAAAAACUCAACAGCUGAACUCUCCACAAGGAUCCAAAAUAAGUUGGACUUCUACAUGAGAGCUUUAAUUAUUCUUCAUCUACUACCUGAAAAGUUUGGUCAAUAAAAAAGAC